AUUGAACGUUGGCGGCAGGCCUAACACAUGCAAGUCGAGCGGAUGAGGGAAGCUUGCUUCCCGAUUUAGCGGCGGACGGGUGAGUAAUGCCUAGGAAUCUGCCUAUUAGUGGGGGAUAACGUUCCGAAAGGAACGCUAAUACCGCAUACGUCCUACGGGAGAAAGUGGGGGAUCUUCGGACCUCACGCUAAUAGAUGAGCCUAGGUCGGAUUAGCUAGUUGGUGAGGUAACGGCUCACCAAGGCGACGAUCCGUAGCUGGUCUGAGAGGAUGAUCAGCCACACUGGAACUGAGACACGGUCCAGACUCCUACGGGAGGCAGCAGUGGGGAAUAUUGGACAAUGGGCGAAAGCCUGAUCCAGCCAUGCCGCGUGUGUGAAGAAGGUCUUCGGAUUGUAAAGCACUUUAAGUUGGGAGGAAGAGUUGUAAGCUAAUAUCUUGCAGCUUUGACGUUACCAACAGAAUAAGCACCGGCUAACUCUGUGCCAGCCGCCGCCGUAACAC
rnacentral:rRNA from 1 species